CCCGUGGCGAAGGCGGAUCACUGGCUGACUCCUGACGCUGAGGCGCGAAAGCGUGGGGAGCGAACAGGAUUAGAUACCCUGGUAGUCCACGCCCUAAACGAUGGGUACUAGUCGUCGGAGGUAUCCACCCCUUCGGUGACGCAGCAAACGCAUUAAGUACCCCGCCUGGGGAGUACGGCCGCAAGGUUGAAACUCAAAUGAAUUGACGGGGACCCGCACAAGCGGUGGAGCAUGUGGAUUAAUUCGAUACUAACCGAAGAACCUUACCCAGGCUUGACAUCGAGGGAAAGCCCUGGAAACAGGGCCCUCCGCCCACAAGGCGGACCCGAAGACACCUGUUGCAUGGCUGUCGUCAGCUCGUGCCGUGAGGUGUUUGGUUAAGUCCAGCAACGAGCGCAACCCUCAUCUCGUGUUGCCAACGGGUAAAGCCGGGGACUCACGAGAAACCGCCGGCGUAAGCCGGAGGAAGGUGAGGAUGACGUCAAGUCAGCAUGGCGGUUACGCCUGGGGCUUCACACAUGCUACAAUGGGCGGAACAAAGGGCAGCAAUGCCGCGAGGCGGAGCGAAUCCCAAAAAUACGCCCUCAGUUCAGAUCGCAGUCUGCAACUCGACUGCGUGAAGUCGGAAUCGCUAGUAACCGCAGGUCAGCUAUACUGCGGUGAAUACGUUCCCGGGUCUUGUACACACUGCCCGUCAAGUCACCUGAAUUGUCUGCACCCGAAGUCCGUGGCCCAACCCGCAAGGGAGGGAGCGGCCGAAGGUGUGGGGAGUAAGGGGGACUAAGUCGUAACAAGGUAAC
rnacentral:rRNA from 1 species